AGAAAGAAAAAAGGAAAAGAAAGAAAAAAAAGGAAAUUGUUUGAAAAUUUGGAAAGGUGUAUAGGAUGGUGUACUGUUGGUCUGGCUGUAUUUCAUGGAUGUGAGACACACAAAACGCUUCCAUGCUGUUCCGCUAUCUUGGCUCCUCCCCUUUGAGUCGCACACCAGUGAAACUUCUUAACAGUGGCCUCCAGGGGUCCCUUUGCCAAUCUGUCUGACAUUCAGGAUCCUUCCAGUGAUUUUAUCUCAGUAUGAAGACUUGCACUCAUUCAAGGCAAAUAGUUAUACCUUUACUGUCUGAUAUUUAAUUUCCUUAUGUUAAUGUUCGUCUUACCAUUCCCAAUUUCAAGGUCAUGCUCUUUGACGGAGAAAUAGAAGCCUGAUUGAUGUUAAGUAAUUCUAUGGCUCAUUUGCCAUCUGUUGAAAUUAUCAAAUUCAUUUCCUUUUGGGGCUUUUGGGGUAAAACAAAUAUUUCAGGCAUACAAAAAAUAAUAUUAGGAACAAUCAACAUCCAGCUUAAGUUAUAAAUGUUACAAAUACAAUUAAAUCUCUUUGUCUGCUCCUUCAUGGUUACUCCCUCUUUCCUUCUCAGGUAAACUCCUAUCCUGAUUUUGAUAUUAUUCCCAUGCACGCUUGUAUAUUUUUAGUACAUAUGUGCAUAGCCACAAAUGUCAUAUAGUAUAAUUUACAUGUUUUACAAAGUUUAUACAAAUAGUUUCACUCUGUACAUAUCUUUUAAGUUUGAAGGGCUGAAUUUGAUUUAGGUUCAAUGUUUUUGGCAAGAGUACUUCAUAGGGGUAACUAUAUACUUUGUACUCAACUUUAUGGUUUUUAGAUUUAUCCUUAAUGAAAUAUAGCUUCAGCUCAUUCUUUUUAACUGUGGCAAGAGUUCAGAAAUAGCCAAAGUAGGGGCGCCUGGAUGGCUCAGUCAGUUAAGUGUCCGACUUUGGCUCAGGUCAUUAUCUUGCGGUCCGUGAGUUUGAGCCCUGCAUUGGGCUCUGUGCUGACAGCUCAGAGCCUGGAGCCUACUUUGGAUUCUGUGUCUCCCUCUUUCCCUGCCCCUCCCUGCUCGUGCUCUCUCUUUCUCAAAAAUAAAUAAACCUUAAAAAAAUGGAAAGAAAUAGCCAAAGUAAAACCAAUGAAUCACCACAGUAGAAAUUAGUAAAAGUUUGUUAAAAAGACAUGUUACAAACCAGAAGCACUUAAACGAAAGCAUGGAAUGAGGCUCAGGGGUACAUUGCUAUGAAGCAGCCUACAUAGUGAGAAAGCAGUGAUUAUUUUUCACAGGGAUUGGUUAUAAUAUAAUUUUCUUAAAUGAUAGGUAAUUGGUUAGUGGUUACCUGACAUCAACCUUGGGAAACAGUUUACGUUUUGCUUAUAUUCCCAGAGGCGUAAGCAAGAAAUGAUGCAGGCCAAGCUAGUAAUUGCUUGUGUGACUAAACUGGUUUUAUCUGCACAGGGAAUUUUCAAGGUUGGCCAGUUUGUUUUUGAUUUUAACAACUGUCACAGGCUUUUUCAUUUUCCUUCUAAUAAUUCUCUUAAUUGUCCUUAUUACUUUUACAGUUCAACUCAGAGCUUUGGUAUUUGUUUAGCUUUGAUUUUAUGGAUUUCUUUUGUUUAUAUUGGCACUUAGAAAUACAUUUCUUUAUUUCCCCUUCUAAAAAUAGAAUAUCUCAUAAUUUAUAUGUUAGAAAGUUCAUAUUCUAGUGUGGGAAAGAAAAAUCUAUAAAGUAUUACUACUUCCUCAAACUUUUAUCUUUUGGGCUUAACUUUAUUACAUACGUGGAAUAUGUUCUGUUCAAGUUUCUGCUGCUGAUCACACUGAAACAGAACAUAAUGAAAAUAUAGAAAAAUACCAUAUGCUGGAAAUGUAAUAUUUUGGAAAAUACAGCAUACUUAUAAUGUAUGCUAUGGAUCUUCGUAAUCUGAAGAAUGAUAGCACAUUUCAAUGUAUGAAACACUGGUUCUCUUAAAUAAAGCUACUGAGAAGAGGGAAAUGCAGAUAUUAGUCAAAGAUGCUUUCUAGCAAUUUGUUUCAGGCCCAUUUCAAUUCAUUCUUUUACAAGUGUUUCUUCAGCACCUGUUCCUAGAGCUUGGGAUGCAGGAGUGAACAUUUCAAGACCUCUGCGUUUGGAGCGACAUUCAAGUAAUUGUGAUUAAGUCGUGCUUCCGUUUUCUUUCUUUGUUCUCUCUCUUCCCACACCGAAGAAGACAAAUUUCAGACUCCAGCUAAUCUGUUCUCAGAGCGGUGACAGCCCCAAAUCAGCAAGCAGGACGCAGCCGGUGCACCGCUCGGUCUAUAGUGCGGGAGCACCUGGCAGGGUCCUCCCGGUGGUCCUGGAAGUGCUGGCCCCACGUUGCCAUGGAGACAUGGGCGCGAACUUCUGCGGCAGGCGCCUCGGGUGGGGGUGGGGAGCGGCGGGAGGAGCUGCCGGCGGUGGCCGGGCUGUGUGGCCUAUGGCAGGUGCGUGUGUGCAGCAGGUGCGUGCGGGUGGGAAGCGCUGGAGGCAGCAGGUGCGUGAGGCCAGGCAUUAGUUGCGUAUGGCCGGCGGCAGGUGCGUGGGGCCAGAGGCAGGUGCUUGUGGCAGGUGCGUGCGGCCGCUUCUCCUCUGCUCUUCCUCCGUCCCUGCCCCUCAGUCCCAAUACGGUUCUUGGCCGACAGGUGAGGAGACCGCCCAGCGGGCAGGUGGGUGCUGCUGUGUCGCCCCAGGACCGACUCCGCCUGCACCUGGCUGUUCUCACGACCCCGAUUCCGACCCUAGCCUCAGCUAGCCUUUUCGCUGCCACUUUUCUUCCCCUGGGACCACGCGCUCCUUAGUGACGUGCACCUGUGGACGUGGCCCUCUUCCUGCUGGUCCCUGCAGGCCCACGGCCUGACAUGCAGGCAGAGCCUCGGGUUGCAGGGCUGUCCAGAGCCACGCUGCCAGUGGGCAGAACAUGCAGGGCAGCCCCCGCCCCAGGGCUCAGAUGGGUGUUCACGGAGAUUCGGGUCCCUCUGGGAGGCCUGUCCUGAGGAGCGGUCCCCGACGUGCUGCCUGGACAGAGCCGGGCUGGAUGUGGGAUCCUGGCUCCCCCUACACCCCCAGGUUGAUCUUCUUGGGGGAAGAAUCGGCGAGAGGAGGCCAACCGUGAAAUGGGUAGUGGUCCUGGGGUGGGGGGUGGGGGGUAGUGGCAAAGCCCCCAGCCGAGGUUCUUCCCCGAAUCUCGCUGCUGAGUGUGCUGAUACAGCUCUUGGAGCUGCCCGCGUUUGUAGGAAGGACUGUACAGUCCUCGGCUCAAAUGGAACAGAAUUGGAUUUUCCCUCCCUAGUCCACUGAGAUGGCGCCUUCGUGGGAUUUUAAUUCUAAGUCUCCUCUCCUCCCGUGAUGCUGUGCCUACAUCCUGGUGCCCCCAGCGCCCAGGACGGGUGGAGCGGGCUGCCGCAGAUUUUGGCAUCAGCCUCGGAUUCUCCAGUUAUCCAGCCUGAAAAUGUCAUCCCAUUUCCUUGGGUCCCGCAAGGGCGGUGAACCUCCUGCCAAUGAGGAGAGUUCUGGAAGUCUAGUAGAAAAGAGGCUAGAGCAAGUCUUCCAAAGGAUGGCGGCGAGAACUGAUUUUUAGAUGUUGUACAUUAAAUAUUUAAAAACAGACCCGAAUGAACAUCGCGUUGUCCUCAAGUGACUGGAAACCACUCCGUCGCUGUUCCUGAAGGACCCCCACUCUGCUGUGAGCUGGACACUAGCCGCCCUAUUCCCUAGGGCAGGAAAAACAUUGCUUGUUUUUAUAUGGUCUCCAAACGAAGAAUGGUUUCUGCGUCUUAAAGACGUAGACAUGGUUGAGCAAAGUCCAAGGAAUUACAGUAUUUUGUAACAUGUGAAAAUGGUAAAGCUCUUAAAUUUU